rnacentral:rRNA from 1 species
GAUGAACGCUGGCGGCGUGCCUAAUACAUGCAAGUCGAGCGAACGGACGAGAAGCUUGCUUCUCUGAUGUUAGCGGCGGACGGGGGAGUAACACGUGGAUAACCUACCUAUAAGACUGGGAUAACUUCGGGAAACCGGAGCUAAUACCGGAUAAUAUUUUGAACCGCAUGGUUCAAAAGUGAAAGACGGUCUUGCUGUCACUUAUAGAUGGAUCCGCGCUGCAUUAGCUAGUUGGUAAGGUAACGGCUUACCAAGGCAACGAUGCAUAGCCGACCUGAGAGGGUGAUCGGCCACACUGGAACUGAGCCACGGUCCAGACUCCUACGGGAGGCAGCAGUAGGGAAUCUUCCGCAAAGGGCGAAAGCCUGACGGAGCAACGGCGCGUGAGUGAUGAAGGUCUUCGGAUCGUAAAACUCUGUUAUUAGGGAAGAACAUAUGUGUAAGUAACUGUGCACAUCUUGACGGUACCUAAUCAGAAAGCCACGGCUAACUACGUG